GCAAGUCGAACGGCAGCACGGAGAGCUUGCUCUCUGGUGGCGAGUGGCGAACGGGUGAGUAAUAUAUCGGAACGUGUCCAAUAAUGGGGGAUAACGAGUCGAAAGAUUCGCUAAUACCGCAUACGCCCUACGGGGGAAAGCAGGGAUCGUAAGACCUUGCGUUAAUGGAGCGGCCGAUAUCUGAUUAGCUUGUUGGUGAGGUAAAGGCUCACCAAGGCGACGAUCAGUAGCUGGUUUGAGAGAACGACCAGCCACACUGGAACUGAGACACGGUCCAGACUCCUACGGGAGGCAGCAGUGGGGAAUUUUGGACAAUGGGGGCAACCCUGAUCCAGCCAUUCCGCGUGAGUGAAGAAGGCCUUCGGGUUGUAAAGCUCUUUCGCAAGGGAAGAAAACUUAUGAUCGAAUAAAUCAUGAGGUUGACGGUACCUUGAUAAGAAGCACCGGCUAACUACGUGCCAGCAGCCGCGGUAAUACGUAGGGUGCGAGCGUUAAUCGGAAUUACUGGGCGUAAAGCGUGCGCAGGCGGUUUUGUAAGUCGGAUGUGAAAUCCCCGGGCUCAACCUGGGAACUGCGUUCGAAACUGCAAGGCUAGAGUGUGUCAGAGGGGGGUAGAAUUCCACGUGUAGCAGUGAAAUGCGUAGAGAUGUGGAGGAAUACCAAUGGCGAAGGCAGCCCCCUGGGAUAACACUGACGCUCAUGCACGAAAGCGUGGGGAGCAAACAGGAUUAGAUACCCUGGUAGUCCACGCCCUAAACGAUGUCAACUAGUUGUUGGUAGAGUAAAAUCUAUGAGUAACGUAGCUAACGCGUGAAGUUGACCGCCUGGGGAGUACGGUCGCAAGAUUAAAACUCAAAGGAAUUGACG
rnacentral:rRNA from 1 species